GGUAAAGUGGCUGAGCAUAAGGCAUCGGAUUGUAAUCCCGAACAUGAAGGUUUUAAUCCUUUUUUUACCA
rnacentral:tRNA from 1 species